AUUGAACGCUGGCGGCAGGCCUAACACAUGCAAGUCGAGCGUGAAAAGCCUUCGGGCUGAGUAAAGCGGCGGACGGGUGAGUAACGCGUAGGAAUCUACCUGGUAGUGGGGGACAACAUGGGGAAACUCAUGCUAAUACCGCAUACGCCCUACGGGGGAAAGCGGGGGACCUUCGGGCCUCGCGCUAUCAGAUGAGCCUGCGUUGGAUUAGCUUGUUGGUGAGGUAAAAGCUCACCAAGGCGACGAUCCAUAGCUGGUCUGAGAGGAUGAUCAGCCACACUGGGACUGAGACACGGCCCAGACUCCUACGGGAGGCAGCAGUGGGGAAUAUUGCGCAAUGGGGGAAACCCUGACGCAGCCAUGCCGCGUGUGUGAAGAAGGCCUUAGGGUUGUAAAGCACUUUCAAUUGGGAAGAAAGGUUGUACGUUAAUAGCGUGCAGCUGUGACGUUACCUUUAGAAGAAGCACCGGCUAACUCCG
rnacentral:rRNA from 1 species